CCUGAGAAACCCAAAAGAUCGAAUAGGGAGAUUCAUCGUCAUCAUAUAUUAUAURUAUAUGAGUUAUGAUGCGAGUUACUUUUGUAUUGCUUGCACAUUCUUAUAUAUUUAAGUGUAAGCUAUGUCGGCGUGCACUUMUCCNNNNGUAGAACGUCRCAACCCAUUGGGUGUUGAUCUAUGAUCCGAGUGGRAGACUUMAAUGUUUUUAACAUUGAAGACCCUUGGUGUUCUAAUCGACUGCUCGAUGGUAUUCGUAUGGUAUUAAGUCGCAUAUUUUUAUGCGUUCAUAUCUAUCACAAGCGRGGCUAAAUUCUGACAGUAUGGACUUAGUGCCGUCGUUGGAUUUGACCAGCUGUUGGUUGAUGGCAUUCUNGAACAGACUUAUACCGGUUAGCGAUGCUACUGCUUUGGGUACUUUCAGGACCCGUCUUGAAACACGGACCAAGGAGUCUAACAUGUGCGCGAGUCAUUGGGAUUAUUUAAAUUAAACCUAAAGGCGCAAUGAAAGUAAAGGUNUUCCNUGCGUUGACCGRGGGAA
rnacentral:rRNA from 1 species